UACAGAGGGUGCAAGCGUUAAUCGGAUUUACUGGGCGUAAAGCGUGCGCAGGCGGUUCGCUAAGACCGAUGUGAAAUCCCCGGGCUUAACCUGGGAACUGCAUUGGUGACUGGCGGGCUAGAGUAUGGCAGAGGGGGGUAGAAUUCCACGUGUAGCAGUGAAAUGCGUAGAGAUGUGGAGGAAUACCGAUGGCGAAGGCAGCCCCCUGGGCCAAUACUGACGCUCAUGCACGAAAGCGUGGGGAGCAAACAGG
rnacentral:rRNA from 1 species